ACGUAGGGUGCAAGCGUUAUCCGGAAUUAUUGGGCGUAAAGGGCUCGUAGGCGGUUCGUCGCGUCCGGUGUGAAAGUCCAUCGCUUAACGGUGGAUCUGCGCCGGGAACGGGCGGGCUGGAGUGCGGUAGGGGAGACUGGAAUUCCCGGUGUAACGGUGGAAUGUGUAGAUAUCGGGAGGAACACCAAUGGCGAAGGCAGCUUUCUGGGCCGUAACUGACGCUGAGGAGCGAAAGCGAGGGGAGCAAACAG
rnacentral:rRNA from 1 species